UACGGAGGGUGCAAGCGUUAUCCGGAUUCACUGGGUUUAAAGGGUGCGUAGGUGGGCAAGUAAGUCAGUGGUGAAAUCUCCGGGCUUAACCCGGAAACUGCCAUUGAUACUAUUUGUCUUGAAUACUGUGGAGGUCAGCGGAAUAUGUCAGUGAGCGGUGAAAUGCUUAGAUAUGACAUAGAACACCAAUUGCGAAGGCAGCUGGCUACACAAAUAU
rnacentral:rRNA from 1 species